GCCUAACACAUGCAAGUCGAGCGGUAGCACAGAGAAACUUGUUUCUUGGGUGACGAGCGGCGGACGGGUGAGUAAUGCUUGGGAACAUGCCUUUAGGUGGGGGACAACAGUUGGAAACGACUGCUAAUACCGCAUGAUGUCUACGGACCAAAGUGGGGGACCUUCGGGCCUCACGCCUAAAGAUUGGCCCAAGUGGGAUUAGCUAGUUGGUGAGGUAAUGGCUCACCAAGGCAACGAUCUCUAGCUGGUUUGAGAGGAUGAUCAGCCACACUGGAACUGAGACACGGUCCAGACUCCUACGGGAGGCAGCAGUGGGGAAUAUUGCACAAUGGGCGAAAGCCUGAUGCAGCCAUGCCGCGUGUGUGAAGAAGGCCUUCGGGUUGUAAAGCACUUUCAGUCAGGAGGAAAGGUUACGUUUUAAUAGAACGUAGCUGUGACGUUACUGACA
rnacentral:rRNA from 1 species